GCCCGGUUAGCUCAAUCGGUAGAGCGUGAGACUCUUAUGAGGAACACGAUCUGAAUAAUCUCAAGGUUGCGGGUUCGACCCCCGCAUCGGGCU
rfam:Trichoderma reesei QM6a unplaced genomic scaffold TRIREscaffold_2, whole genome shotgun sequence.